rnacentral:rRNA from 1 species
UGCCAGCAGCCGCGGUAAUACGGAGGUUGCAAGCGUUGUUCGGAUUUACUGGGCGUAAAGGGAGCGCAGGCGGCUUGGUCAGUCGGAAGUGAAAGUCCGGGGCUCAACCCCGGAAAUGCUUUCGAUACUGCCAAGCUUGGGUUCGCGAGAGGCGAGUGGAAUUCCAGGUGUAGCGGUGAAAUGCGUAGAUAUCUGGAGGAACACCAGUGGCGAAAGCGGCUCGCUGGCGCGAUACCGACGCUGAGGCUCGAAAGCGUGGGGAGCGAACGGGAUUAGAUA